UACGUAGGCAGCAAGCGUUGUUCGGAAUUACUGGGCGUAAAGAGUGUGUAGGCGGUGCUCCAAGUCUGGUGUGAAAUCUCCCGGCUUAACUGGGAGGGUGCAUUAGAAACUGGAAUGCUAGAGGAUGGGAGAGGUAAGCGGAAUUCCCGGUGUAGCGGUGAAAUGCGUAGAGAUCGGGAGGAAGGCCGGUGGCGAAGGCGGCGCUCUGGAACAUUUCUGACGCUGAGGCUCGAAAGCGUGGGGAGCAAACAGG
rnacentral:rRNA from 1 species